AGCUGCUGCCUGCCUGUUUAUGAAGGCGUUACACAUUUGUAAUGGUUUAAUGAGUCGGAACUGCAGCCUCUUGUUGGAUGGGACAGGUGCAGUUAUUUUCACGCCAUGGGUCACUGAGACGUCAUAAAGUUGAUUUUUCAUUUUUACGUUUUUAAGACGUUUUCGCUCACUUUAACAUAAGACGAGAAGAAGAAGAAAAUCAUAGCCAGAGUUUUCGUUCGGUUUUUUCUGUUUGAAUCAGUAUUUAAUUAUUUGUAAACGAAUAGCUCCUGAAGUUUAACCCCAUUCACGCACGUGGCAUGCCACCGCGGCACAGUUUGGCCGACUUUUACGCAUCUCUUGGGACGAGAAAAAGCUGAAAACAAGCGUGUCUGUGUAUGUGUAUGAGUGCGGUGGGCAACGACGCUCCUCAUUUCCACUUAAUACACGAGGGAAAAAGGGAAAAAAACAUUAAAGAGAGACUUCUUUCAUUCGGAAUCAUAAAUGGAGCUGCGUAAAUACCUGUUGUGCCUGGAGUUUAUCCUCCUCCUUAAAGAGCUUUGUCAGUGUUUCAACAUAGAUGUAAAGCACCCGCGCAUCUUCACCGGUCCAGAGGACGCGCUGUUCAGCGUGAAGUACAUGGAGAGAAAUCGAUGCUGGUUGGUGCUCCCUGGGACGGGCCGCCCAACAACAGGAAAGGAGAUGUUUACAAAUGCAGCGUGGGACGGGAGAAGAACUCGAGCUGCAAUAAAGUGAAUCUAGGUGAGACGGCUCUCCAGAACGUUUCAAAGAAUCUGAGGAAUUCUCACUUGGGAAUGACCCUCACACCAACUUCACCUGAUGGCUUCCUGGCAUGUGCUCCACUGUGGUCACAAGAGUGUGGUACAUCCAGUGUUGGGAAGGUUACUUUUAAAAUGUAUUCCACUACAGAAUACUGAAUACAUGCC